CUUCACCCACACAUACACACACAUACAUACAUGCUUCAACCCAUUACACACCGAAGAAGAGUGCAGUUCUAGGAACAGCUAAAAUACUGCGCAGAACCCUCAAACUCCCAGGCCUCUGGUAGAGGACCCGAGAAUGAGGAAUAAACAUACCACCCAGGAGGGGUGAUAAAAUCAAUUUUAAUUUUUAUAUUAACUACAGCUCCUUGUUAAGCACACAAUGCAACCUCAAUGCACAUACACUCACAAUGCAGCCCCUAGAUGCACACACACACACACACACACUUUACAGACCCUGUCGGCACACACACACAAUCUCAAAAGCUCCUUUACUUGAGCUUGUGCUCAAACUACAUCCCCCUAGUUACACAUAGUACACCAUAAACAGACUCCUCUAUACACACACUUCAUGACAGCCCAUUCUAAACACCAUGGAAAAUAAUCUUGCAUCUCCUGAA